UCUAAAUCAUCCAUACCGAAGAAAGUGGCUUUUCUCUCUAUCGCUGUUCUCAAAUGUGAGCCGAUAUCUGAGGACAAAACAUAUAGAUAAGUUGGCUAAUGCUACCUAGCAAAAACAUCUAGCUUAGUAGUGUAGACUUGCUGACUAUGACUAGUUUUCGAUAAUAACGUUAAGCUCCUCAGUCUGCAAGCUAGGAGAGCAGGUAAAAUAUUAAAAAUAUUAAAUAAUAUCGGAACAAAUGUAUACAAUGCUGUAACAUACAAUAUACUAUACCAAAUAUAUCGUGAACAUAAUGUUAAAUCCGUGCUUACCCCGAAGUGCACUUUUCAGACGGCUUCUGUUGAACACUGCUGCUUUUUCCCAAAAUGUAUCAGGCGCCAAAUCUCUUCGAUUUAUAUAUCUGACGUCAUUUUGAUGUGACGGUGAGCGGAGAGCAGGUCAUAGAGCAGAGGCGUGAGCAGCAUGUGCAAAUAUUUUCUCAUAUACAAAAUUGUACGACAUAAGUUGUUGUAAAAAAGUCUUGAAGGGAAUUCAUAUUUCUGGUUAGCAAAUAGGAGGCACAGGUGUAACCAAGCCCACAGACAAGCACCAAAACGAGCCUACUAAAGACUACUGGAGUGAAUCAUGGCAGUGUGGCGGUGUAUGAUCUGUUUCGUUUUUGUUGCGUUAAGUAUAAAAUCGCUCCUCAGCCACAUAAAUGUCACGCAUAGCCGUAGUCAAGAUUUUUGGGUUCUGUGUGGAAUUGAUGGUUGUGAACAAGAUUUUAGAGUUUACAACUCAUUUUAUCGCCAUCUUAAACGAACACACCCUUUGUAUUUGGCGACCGGAUGCCCACCAAUGGCAUGGGGGACAACACCUACUUCAGCUGCACUUGGGUCAGAGAACUUUGGUGCAUCUAUUUUUUCUGAAGCCGCUACUCCUGCAAGAACGUACUUUGUGGAGGAACAGUCACACGGCAGUCAAAUUGAAACUUGUAUGGAAACUCCUCCUGAUUCCCAUUCUUGUAUUCAGGAAAAUAAUGGAGCUGGAACAUCUGUAACCGAACCGGAUAUUGGCAAGUCUGCGGCAGCUUUUGCAAUCAGUGUCCGGGAAGAAUGCCAUCUGUCACAGAGGACCGUCAACAGAGUCAUUGGAGGGGUGCAACAGUACCAAGCAACUCUCUUGGAUACAUUAAGGAUAAGAAUGAGAAGAGUUUUUGACAGACA